GACGAACGCUGGCGGCGUGCUUAACACAUGCAAGUCGAACGAUGAACCCGGAGCUUGCUCUGGGGGAUUAGUGGCGAACGGGUGAGUAACACGUGAGUAACCUGCCCUGGACUCUGGGAUAAGCGUUGGAAACGACGUCUAAUACCGGAUAGGACCUUGGAUCGCAUGAUCUGGGGUGGAAAGUUUUUUCGGUCUGGGAUGGACUCGCGGCCUAUCAGCUUGUUGGUGAGGUAAUGGCUCACCAAGGCGUCGACGGGUAGCCGGCCUGAGAGGGUGACCGGCCACACUGGGACUGAGACACGGCCCAGACUCAUACGGGAGGCAGCAGUGGGGAAUAUUGCACAAUGGGCGAACGCCUGAUGCAGCAACGCCGCGUGCGGGAUGACGGCCUUCGGGUUGUAAACCGCUUUUAGUAGGGAAGAAGGGCUUCGGCUUGACGGUACCUGCAGAAAAAGGACCGGCUAACUACGUG
rnacentral:rRNA from 1 species